AGAGUCUCCAUGUCUUCUCUGUGACUGUUUCCUCCCGCAUGCUGUUUGCUAACUUAAUUUGCUGUAGUGUACCUGGUGGAGUCUGAUCGGGGAGAGACUGUUAAUAAUAUAAAGAUCAGUCUCCGAUGGGAUAAAAUAAUCGUCUUAACAUCAAGAGCCACUGCUAUAUUACAGAGCAUAUAUAAUCAUCAUCAUCAUCUGUUGUAAAACAAGAAAACUUCCAAGGAUGCUGCCUGGCCUGCUGAGUUUCUCCAGCAUUUUGUGUGCAUUGCUUGAAAAGGGCUGUUUAAUCGCGAUCCCCAUAAAAUCUGACAGAGCUUGAACAGCUUUGUAAAGAAGAAUGGGGAAAAAUUGCAGUGACUGGACGUGCAAAGCUGAUAGAGACCUAUCCACACAGACUCAAGGCUGUAAUUGCCUCCGAAGAUUACUGUGGAGGAUCCAGGUAAAUUACAUAUUCAGUAAAGUUCUUCAAACACCACCAACCUCAUCCCCAAUGCCCCAAAAAUAGAUUUGAAGGUUUUCAACAUUUCUCUAUCUCAGUGUCCAUCAACUUCAAAGAGAUUUUAUCACCCACAAACCCACAAGGAGCAAUUUAAAAACCAAUUAACC